rnacentral:rRNA from 1 species
GUUUAUUUGGAGUUAUAAAUAAUUUGGCCUGCCCCCUGAUUAAAAAUUAAAGGGCCGCAGUAUUAUAACUGUGCAAAGGUAGCAUAAUCAUUAGGUUUUUAAUUAGAAUCUUGUAUGAAUGGUCGGACAAAAGAAAAGCUCUCUUUAUAUUAAUUUUGAAUUUAACUUUUAAGUGAAAGGGCUUAAAUAUACUAAAGGGACGAUAAGACCCUAUAAAACUUUACAUUAUAAUUAUAUUUUAGUAAAUUUAUAAAUAAAUAUUUAAUUUAAUUAUUUGUUAGGCUGGGGAGGUGUAAAUAAACAUUAUUUUAACUGUUUGAUAAUUAUACAAUUAUUAAUGGGUAAAUAUAAAGAUCCUUUUUAAAGAUUAAUAGAUUAAGUUACUUUAGGGAUAACAGCGUAAUUUCUUUUGAGAGUUCUUAUCGAAAAAGAAGAUUGCGACCUCGAUGUUGAAUUAAAAAAUUCUAUAUAAUGGAGAGAUUAUAUAAGAAGGUCUGUUCGACCUUUAAAAUUUUACAUGAUUUGAGUUCAAACCGGCGUGAG